CUCAGUGAGGGUCAGUUGAAAAAGACUGAAAGCCAGAAGUCAGUGAGUUCGGGAGAUUGACAAGCUAGAGACUGCAGUCAGGCAGAAAGAAGGAUUCUGAGGAGUAGAAUCAAGAUUCAGAGGGAGCUGGAAGUGACAAAGGACAAGCUGCAAAAGCUCUUGGAACCAAGGAAGAAGAUAGGCCUCUAAGAAAACUAACCGGGCUAUUUUGGAAAAGACAAUAAAAGAUUGGAUUUUUAACUCCUAGCUGUAUUUGAGGUGAUUAUUACACUCAAUUGAAACUAAGGCUGUCUCCAGAAACCUACCCAAGAAACCUGCUCCUAGAAAGAGAACGAUCAUAUUAUAGAAAAGAAGAAAACACCACAGGAAUUGGAUAUUUUCACCUUUUCUCAAAGUUAAGAAGGCUCCAAGGGGUUCACCUUCAAAUGAUGGCCAACACUGGACACUGAUCCUGAGAAGAAAUACCCACUGGACGCUACUUCAAUCAAUUUCAGGCCUUAAGCUUGUCACCUCUCCAAGUGGGACAUUGUAAGGCAGGCUCAGCUCUAUGGCCACCCUGGCAGGAAGCAGGAUGAUUAAGAUGAUUGCCACACACCCAAAAGGAUGUGGACUCCAUUUGUUGAAGGGAAUGGACCCCAAUAAAAUAUUAUGUCCUUGGCUGUAAGCAAUAUCCGAGUGAGCUCCAGCUAGGAGCAAAUAAAAACUGUGGAAUUAUCUUGUACUGGCAUUAUUAUGUCUAGACAGAGCUAUUGUGUUCUGAUGCCUCAGUGACCAACAACUGCUACCCCUACAAUAAAAUACAGACUUUACACUUGACAAA